GCAGUCGUGGACUAGAAAUCCAUUGGGGUCUCCCCGCACAGGUUCAAAUCCUGUCGACUGCG
rnacentral:tRNA from 1 species